AGAGUUUGAUCAUGGCUCAGAUUGAACGCUGGCGGCAUGCCUUACACAUGCAAGUCGAACGGUAACGGGCCUUCGGGUGCCGACGAGUGGCGAACGGGUGAGUAAUGCAUCGGAACGUACCUUCAGUGGGGGAUAACGUAGCGAAAGUUACGCUAAUACCGCAUAUUCUGUGAGCAGGAAAGCAGGGGAUCGCAAGACCUUGCGCUGAUUGAGCGGCCGAUGUCAGAUUAGCUAGUUGGUGAGGUAAAGGCUCACCAAGGCGACGAUCUGUAGCGGGGUCUGAGAGGAUGAUCCGCCACACUGGAACUGAGACACGGUCCAGACUCCUACGGGAGGCAGCAGUGGGGAAUUUUGGACAAUGGGGGCAACCCUGAUCCAGCCAUGCCGCGUGAGUGAAGAAGGCCUUCGGGUUGUAAAGCUCUUUCGGCCGGGAAGAAAUCGCAUGGGUUAACACCCUGUGCGGAUGACGGUACCGGCAUAAGAAGCACCGGCUAACUACGUG
rnacentral:rRNA from 1 species